GCGUCCGCCAGCGAGGACCGGCUGCGCUCCGCGUUCGCGGCGGACGACACCGAGACGGUCGUGGACCUCGUGUUCGAGACCGGUUCGGGCGUG
rnacentral:tRNA from 1 species